GAUCCCGCUUUGGGUGUGGAUGGCCUGGAUUCUUCCGCCUCUGCCUCACUCCCGCUCCUACCCACUACAUGCACAGUGACAUCAUUUUUUUGGCUUGGAAAGUCUCUGGAGGGCCUUCAGAGUCUCAUGUAGCCAAGGUUGAUGUCAAACUCACUAUGUACACAACCUUGAACUUCUGGUCUUCCUGCUUCCAGAGUCCUGAGAUUUCAGGGAGAAGAAUCUGGUUUCCAGGGCCUAGAACUGGGGUCUGACGGUGUGAGCAAGUGGGUGUGACCAUGCAGG